rnacentral:misc_RNA from 1 species
AUGUUAAUGAAUCUAGACAUAUAUCUAGCAUUUCUCACAUUUAUAUUGAUGUUAAUGAAUCUAGAUAGAUAUAUAUGUCUAGAUUCAUUAACAUCAAUAUGAAUGUGGGAAAUGCUAGAAUGACUUACAUUGUGAAACGG